GCCUUCGGGAAUCAGUCGUAUGAUACGCGAACGUAUCUCGGUACCGUAACGAAAGUAGGGCCGAGGUAUACUAGUAGCAUUCACUCGGCGCAUUUCUCGAAGGUAAGCGCUGCGACCGAUACGAAAGGCCAGUGAAGCGACGGUGAUUGAGGUCGAAGCCCGUCAGGGUUUCGCUACCAGUCCCGUCGCCUAAGUCGCUGGACCGCAGUAUGUAUCGAGCGCCUAGAAAAUACACGUCGGCGUAAAAGCUCGCUCGAGCGAUGGAUAGUCGGUCGAUUAGUCGGUACCUGCUCGCAGGUGUCGGCGACUUCGGCUCGGUUCAGAAGUCGCCAGCGACAUUAGACGUGUUGGCGUCAGCGGCGUCAGUGUCGGCCACCCGUCCGACCCGUCUUGAAACACGGACCAAGGAGUCUAACAUAUGCGCGAGCUAAUGGGUGGAAAACCCAAAAGCGCAAUAAAAGUAAAUGCCGUUUCGGACGGCUAAGGUACGAUCCUGACAGUCGAGGCUUCAGGCGCAGUACCGUCCCGUCCCGACCGCACGUCGGUAGGGCGGAGAUAGAGUGCAUACGUUGGGACCCGAAAGAUGGUGAACUAUGCCUGAGCAGAGCGAAGCCAGAGGAAACUCUGGUGGAGGUUCGUAGCGGUUCUGACGUGCAAAUCGAUCGUCAGACUUGGGUAUAGGGGCGAAAGACUAAUCGAACCAUCUAG
rnacentral:rRNA from 1 species